rnacentral:rRNA from 1 species
UACGUAGGGGGCAAGCGUUGUCCGGAAUUAUUGGGCGUAAAGAGCGUGUAGGCGGUCCGGUAAGUCCGCUGUGAAAGUCCAGGGCUCAACCCUGGAAUGCCGGUGGAUACUGCCGGGCUAGAGUCCGGAAGAGGCGAGUGGAAUUCCUGGUGUAGCGGUGAAAUGCGCAGAUAUCAGGAAGAACACCAAUGGCGAAGGCAGCUCUCUGGGACGGUACUGACGCUGAGACGCGAAAGCGUGGGGAGCGAACAGG